rnacentral:rRNA from 1 species
UACGUAGGGUGCAAGCGUUGUCCGGAAUUAUUGGGCGUAAAGAGCUCGUAGGCGGCUUGUCGCGUCGACUGUGAAAACCCGCGGCUCAACUGCGGGCCUGCAGUCGAUACGGGCAGGCUAGAGUUCGGUAGGGGAGACUGGAAUUCCUGGUGUAGCGGUGGAAUGCGCAGAUAUCAGGAGGAACACCGAUGGCGAAGGCAGCUCGCUGGGACGGUACUGACGCUGAGGCGCGAAAGCGUGGGGAGCGAACAGG